rnacentral:tRNA from 1 species
CCCUGGUUAGCUCAGUCGGUAGAGCGCUCCCGCUGUAAUGGAGAGGUCCCGGGUUCGAUACACAGACCAGGCG